UCCUGCAGCCCUCUCCGAGGGCGUUUCCUCCCAAGACUUCGGGCCGCUCCGACGGGGCGGCCUUUUUUUCUGCCCGCG
rfam:Methylobacterium radiotolerans JCM 2831 plasmid pMRAD01, complete sequence.